CCCAGAGUUUGCUCAAAUUCAUGUCAGUGUAUAACUUACACAGACCCUAGUUCUCCAGGCAAAGGAGGGAGGGAAACUAGCAUCUCUUGGAUGAAGAUAAUGAGCCAAGUAUCUGUUCUCAUCUCUGCCCUCCUCACGGCCUGUGUUGGUUCUGCGCAUUUGGGAAACGAAGCAUCUGAGACACACGGGUCCAGGAAGCUGCCCAUGAUUCCUUUGGCGUGCAGAUAGAAUGUGUGAUACUCAGAGCACAGAAUACAGUGAAAACAGUGAAACACAGCCAAAUGGGCUGCAACCUUGUCUUCGUCACACUGGGGACUGGGCCCCUAAAGAAAUCUGGGAGAAGGAGGCACCCCUCGCUUUGGAGCACAGGAGGGCUGGUCACAGAUACUCCAGAGGGCAGUUAUGUGACUCUCUGAAAUGGAGUUCUGAUCCAUGGGUGAAGGACAGAGAUGCUGGGCUGGGUCUCCUGCUAGAAGGUGUGAAACCGUGUGUAACUCUAGAGU